CCUCUCUGGCUCUCUUUGUGCCGGCGACCGAUCCUCCUUUCCUCCUCACGGCAGAGCACCCCGGCAAGAGCACCAUUCCUCCCCUUACUGUGCCGUGCCUAGUUUAGGUGCGGCCGAGCCUUCCUUUGUGUUCUAGGUUCCGGUUGAGAAUCUGUGCGGUGGAUUUUAGCAGCAAAGCUGUAAAACUUCAGCAGUAACGAUCCUUGCUAUAGAGCCACAGCGACUGUGGUUGAGCAACCUUUUGAUUUACAGCAGCAAUUUAUCUUUGCUAGCAGUAAGUUUUGUUUUCAAGCAGCAUCUUGGUCCAGCAGCAGUAAGGACUGUGAUUCGAGAUUGGGCGUCUCGACAUCGGAUUGGUUCGAUU